ACAGCUAGCUAGCACUGCAGUGCAUAAAAUAUGAUGAGUAGUUGACUCAAAGAGAGAGAAAGACAAUAAUUGAUUUCUUCCAAAAUGAAGGAGAAGUAGGAGAGAGAGAGAUUGCAAUAUCUUUUUUUUUUUGAGGGGGGGGGGUUCACUUUCACUUAGCUACUUAGCUAGCAAAAGGCAAAAGCAGCUAGCUAGCUAGUUUAACCUACUCAAACACCCGGCUCAAACAGAGGGAUGCUAUGUUAGCUAGCUGAUUAUGACUAUCCAACACAACACUGGAACUCUUCCAAGUCAAGGUGACAUACAGCUGAUGUGUUGUGCAUUGAAGUCCACAAGUGAAGGGAAAAGAUUCAACUAGUCUGUUACGGCAGAGGCAGAGAUGACGUUGGAGGGAUAUGGGUCAAACUUAGCUGAAAUGGUUUCGUGCCCCACGUCCGGUGUCAAGUUUUCAUACAUACAGCUGAGGACUUUGUAUCUUAGGCUUUGGAGUUUAACAGCUCUCCCUCGCUCUGUGUUGACAGGAAGUUUAACUCAGGCUGAGCUGAUGGAUGGUCUCUAUUUAGGCUGUGAGGAGGUCAAGCCCACAGAGGAAGCAAUCAACCAGGACUCAGAACAGGAGGAACCUCCACAGCUGCACUGGAAGUAAUAAACUGACCAGGGUGGGCCCCUGUUGGGAGAAUCCGUUUUUGCAGGGUCAAAGGGUUUGGUCAGAUUGGUCGUCCAAUGACCCCAUGGUGAACUUUAUGAGUAGGAACCUUGAAGCCGAGGAGCUGGGUAGUUGAAUUUUGGAGGAGGCUGAGCUGACUGGCAGUUAGCUUGAAACCCUCAUCAGGGAAUGAAUAGUCUGAAACCUGCCUAUGGUAGAUAUCUAGCUGUACUGCUCGAGAAACGUAUAAGCAGAUAUUUUUGUGUUUUUUUAAGCCUGGCUCUAAGACUCUCUGAGCUAAAUAAAUAGGAGAAUGAUUUGAAUCUGGCUUCCCUCUCAAUUCCACUUCAAACUUUAGUCUUAGUCACCAUGAGCCCCUAUACCCAUGAGAGUUGUAUAUGUAUGAAUUAUUUACAGCUUCAUGGCGGAGCGCUGCUGCUCCGUGCACAGAGUGAAAGUCAAUUUCAUUUUCUUCUUUUCAUUUCCUCGCAUCCCUCCAGCAUUUUCUAAAGUGGAAGAAGACAGAUUCUCAAUUUCAUUUGGAUUCUCUAACUUCCGUACCUUCAGAAAAGAGCAGAGAACUGUGCCAGAACUGAGUCAUGAAGAUGACAGAUUUAUAUUUCCAUUUCCCCCACCAUGUCUAUCGACAUCUGAAGUUUAAGUUAUUUUGCAGCUUUUUAGUUGGGUUAAGUCAUGAACUUAAAGAUGGAAUCCACAUAAGGGGGGAAACACCGAAACUGGCCGCCUCACCACCGUUGCUUUUGUUUUUGUUGCCGAGCUGAGGAGCGUCAUGCAACAUGGCAAAGAAACAUUACAGUACAUAUUGUGCUCUUCAAUCAUGCAUGCAAUGAUGCCCGAGGGAAACAAAUGUAACUCUUUAUUUCGAAAGUCCAUCUGUAGAUCCGCUACAGAAUAUCUACAGACUAUCAGUAACAUUUCAACUAACUAUCUGUUAACCCUAACCCUAGCUCGAACCCUAACCUUAACCCUUAUCCUAACCCUAAACUUAACCCUUACACUAUCCCUAACCCUAGUCCUAACCUUAACCCUUCCUUAUCCUAACCCUUAUUCUAAACCUAACCCCAACCUUAUCCAAUUAAAGUGUGACCAAAAA
rnacentral:lncRNA from 1 species